rnacentral:rRNA from 1 species
AAAGCGAGCGGCGGAUGGGUGAGUAACACGUGGGGAACCUGCCCCUAAGUCUGGGAUACCAUUUGGAAACAGGUGCUAAUACCGGAUAAUAAAGCAGAUCGCAUGAUCAGCUUUUGAAAGGCGGCGUAAGCUGUCGCUAAGGGAUGGCCCCGCGGUGCAUUAGCUAGUUGGUAAGGUAACGGCUUACCAAGGCGACGAUGCAUAGCCGAGUUGAGAGACUGAUCGGCCACAUUGGGACUGAGACACGGCCCAAACUCCUACGGGAGGCAGCAGUAGGGAAUCUUCCACAAUGGACGCAAGUCUGAUGGAGCAACGCCGCGUGAGUGAAGAAGGUUUUCGGAUCGUAAAGCUCUGUUGUUGGUGAAGAAGGAUAGAGGUAGUAACUGGCCUUUAUUUGACGGUAAUCAACCAGAAAGUCACGGCUAACUACGUGCUAGCAGCCGCGGUAAUACGUAGGUGGCAAGCGUUGUCCGGAUUUAUUGGGCGUAAAGCGAGCGCAGGCGGAAAAAUAAGUCUAAUGUGAAAGCCCUCGGCUUAACCGAGGAACUGCAUCGGAAACUGUUUUUCUUGAGUGCAGAAGAGGAGAGUGGAACUCCAUGUGUAGCGGUGGAAUGCGUAGAUAUAUGGAAGAACACCAGUGGCGAAGGCGGCUCUCUGGUCUGCAACUGACGCUGAGGCUCGAAAGCAUGGGUAGCGAACAGGAUUAGAUACCCUGGUAGUCCAUGCCGUAAACGAUGAGUGCUAAGUGUUGGGAGGUUUCCGCCUCUCAGUGCUGCA